CCGGCUAACUACGUGCCAGCAGCCGCGGUAAUACGUAGGGUGCGAGCGUUAAUCGGAAUUACUGGGCGUAAAGCGUGCGCAGGCGGUUCGUUAAGACAGAUGUGAAAUCCCCGGGCUUAACCUGGGAACUGCAUUUGUGACUGGCGAGCUAGAGUAUGGCAGAGGGGGGUAGAAUUCCACGUGUAGCAGUGAAAUGCGUAGAGAUGUGGAGGAAUACCGAUGGCGAAGGCAGCCCCCUGGGCCAAUACUGACGCUCAUGCACGAAAGCGUGGGGAGCAAACAGGAUUAGAUACCCUGGUAGUCCACGCCCUAAACGAUGUCAACUAGUUGUUGGGGAUUCAUNNCCUUAGUAACGUAGCUAACGCGUGAAGUUGACCGCCUGGGGAGUACGGUCGCAAGAUUAAAACUCAAAGGAAUUGACGGGGACCCGCACAAGCGGUGGAUGAUGUGGAUUAAUUCGAUGCAACGCGAAAAACCUUACCUACCCUUGACAUGGUCGGAACCCUGCUGAAAGGUGGGGGUGCUCGAAAGAGAACCGAUACACAGGUGCUGCA
rnacentral:rRNA from 1 species